AGCAGAGAUGAGGAGGGCUUGCAUUUUACGGAUGGGAGACAGCUGUAUGAAGGUGUUGAGGCAGUCACCACCCAACAACCAACUCAUUCUGUGCCCGGCCCGAGCGAGACGUUCCAUCUCUGACUCCCCAAUGGGGAAAAUCAGGCCCAAAGAGGAGAUAUGAAUUGCCCUUACCACUAACAUCCUUCAGAUGGUCUUAACACAGUGCCUGUCUGCUUAACAAAUGCUUGCUGACUGACUGGAUUAAUACAGAACAUAGAAUUUCAGGGAUAGAAGUCACUUUCACAGAGAAUAUUCAACAAUCCAUCCAUCCAUCCAGACCACCUUGCCAUCUGCUCUGCUGCAAGUAUGUGCCUAUCUAUCCUCCCAGCCCCUUGUUCUGGGCACAAUAAUCAAAUUGAUUGACUUCUCCAUAGAUUGAUUCACCAUCACUGUGACUCUUCCAGACUACAGCUCCCUUCCCCUGGCAACUAAUCCUCUCUAUGUGUCCUCUCUCCCUCUUA